GAAAUGCGAUAAGUAAUGUGAAUUGCAGAAUUCAGUGAAUCAUCGAAUCUUUGAACGCACCUUGCGCUCCUUGGUAUUCCUUGGAGCAUGCCUGUUUGAGUAUCAUGAAAUCUUCAAAGUAAAUCUUUUGUUAACUCAAUUGGUUUCUACUUUGGUAUUGGAGGUCUUUGCAGCUUCACACCUGCUCCUCUUUGUUCAUUAGCUGGAUCUCAGUGUUAUGCUUGGUUCCACUCGGCGUGAUAAGUUAUCUAUCGCUGAGGACACUGUAAAAGGUGGCCAAGGUAAAUGCAGAUGAACCGCUUCUAAUAGUCCAUUGACUUGGACAAUACUUUUAUGAUCUGAUCUCAAAUCAGGUAGGACUCCCCGCUGAAGUUACGC
rnacentral:misc_RNA from 1 species